GGAUGUGAGGGCGAUCUGGCUGCGACAUCUGCCACCCCAUUGAUCGCCAGGGUUGAUUCGGCUGAUCUGGCUGGCUAGGCGGGUGUCCCCCUCCUCCCUCACCGAUCCAUGUGCGUCCCUCCCGAAGCUGCGCACUCGAAGAGGACAACCUUCCCCCCAGGGGAGAAGACCGGUCUUCGGUCAACGGUAUACGAGUAGCUGCGCUCCCCUGCUAGAACCUCCAAAAAAUACUGUGGCCCUGCUGGUGUUUCUCAGUGGUUAAGAGUGUUGGCCCUCCCACCACAGGGUCGUGGGU
ensembl:misc_RNA 7SK 7SK RNA